AGUUUAAUGCGCGUACGCUGGGAAGAGAGAGAGAGAGAGAGAGACAGAGAGAGAAGUUAGAAUCAACCGAGAGCACGAGCGCGUACGACGAAGACGUGGCCGAAACUGAUGAUCGUUCCUUGCCUUCGGUUCGUGACAAACGCGUUGUACCACCGACGGAUGGAUGAACACACGGUGAGACGGAUUUUCGUCGACGGCCACGUUUAGUUGUUUGUCGCGUUGUGCAGCGGCGCUCAUGACGUCGGGACGCCCACCACCUGUGGUGCUCACCCUCUUUUCCUCGCGGCCAGCCAUCCUUCCGCGCGCGCCACACUUCCGCGCACACGCGUUACGUCGUCCUUUCGGCCCGCUUCCCCUUCGUGCUUUGCCUUCUAAUCGAGUGGGGGGAAACAGAUUUUAAAUUUUCGUCUUUGCUGUCGCUGUCAUCGCAAGUGUUCGCCAUCAUCCCAUACCGUUUGACCUGUCGUUUCGUUACAUUCUCGUAUUCUACGGAGUUAUCGUAUAAAAGAAUCAAGAAUCUUGUAAUACAGAACGAGAAAUAACAGUUUUAAUUUUCAAAAUUUUGAAAAUGGCAAGGAAUAGGUAUUAAGUGAUAUGUGAGUGGAAAAUGUGCAGUCGCUACGAAAUCGUAUGAUGUAACAUUACGCAGUUUAUCGAUGUUCCAGAAGCGGUGGCGCAUUUAUCGUCGCUUAUAGCUCCAUUUACGUACAAACACGCGUAAGUGCUUGUACGUGCGUAUUCGCAGAUGCGACCUACGUCCCUACGGAAUUCUAGAGCUGGUCAAUGUAUAGUUACAUAUACAAAGGGAGAAUAUAACCGGCGUGUACACGCAAAACUAGACACGAGUGUUUAUCCCCUGUGCGAUCCUUACAUUGGGGGCAAUUUAUAGGGGAAAAAAGUUGUGCGAGAUUAUGGCAAUCGCGCCACGCGUGUUUCUCUAAUAAACAUGUAUUUUUACUUGCGAGAAGAAAUCGUCGGAAAAAUUUUUUCGGUUUGACGUGAAAAAGAUUAAGAUAUUCAUACGAAUCGCAAAUUAAGAUAAAUAAGAUUUAACACGAACUAGCAACAUAUUUGCUGCAUACGUAUAUAAAUUUUAAAAUACUUACAGACUCUUUAAAAUUCAUUUUCACUUCGAAUUUUCUAAUUAUUUAUUCAAAAUUAAAUACAUAUUAUUGUCAAAAUUCAUAUUCUAUUGCAAGGAAUAAAAUAUAUCUUGAUAUUUAUUCGGAUAAUUAUAUUAAAAUAAAUAAAUACUGAUAAUAAAAAAAUAGUAACCUCUUUAAAAAUUGAGAACUUGAAUUACUGUUCCAAAUAUACAUAUAUGCUAUAUAAAUUACGAAAAAGAAAAUUUUAAUUUUUGUCGUGUAAUCUUGUAAUAAUUAGAUUUGUAUUUAUUAUAUAUAAUAACCAAUAAUUUACGAUGAAUGUAUAAAUAAUCUCGCCAAAUGAUGUUCGUCUAAUAAAUUUAGUAAAAAAAAAAAAACGAUAA